GACGAACGCUGGCGGCGUGCUUAACACAUGCAAGUCGAGCGGUAAGGCCCUUUCGGGGGUACGACGAGCGGCGAACGGGUGAGUAACACGUGGGUGACCUGCCCUCAGCUCUGGGAUAAGCCUGGGAAACCGGGUCUAAUACCGGAUAUGACUCCAUGACGCAUGUUGUGGGGUGGAAAGCCUUGUGCGGCUGAGGAUGGGCCCGCGGCCUAUCAGCUUGUUGGUGGGGUGAUGGCCUACCAAGGCGACGACGGGUAGCCGGCCUGAGAGGGCGACCGGCCACACUGGGACUGAGACACGGCCCAGACUCCUACGGGAGGCAGCAGUGGGGAAUCUUGCGCAAUGGGCGAAAGCCUGACGCAGCGACGCCGCGUGAGGGAUGACGGCCUUUGGGUUGUAAACCUCUUUCAGCUCCGACGAAGCGAGAGUGACGGUAGGAGCAGAAGAAGCACCGG
rnacentral:rRNA from 1 species